CGUGUGCUUUUCCGAUGUCAUUGAUGAAGGAGUUCAUGAUGGACAUGGCCUUGGAGGAGAUGCCGAUGUCCGGGUGCACCUGCUUCAGCACCUUGAAGAUGUAGAUCUUGUACGUCUCCACGCUCUUCUUGGACUUCUUCUUUCCCUUCUU